UACGUAGGGUGCGAGCGUUAAUCGGAAUUACUGGGCGUAAAGCGUGCGCAGGCGGUUCGUUGUGUCUGCUGUGAAAUCCCCGGGCUCAACUCGAAGUCUGCAUGAGAAACUGCCGGGCUUGAGGACUGGAGAGGAGACUGGAAUUUACGGUGUAGCGGUGAAAUGCGUAGAUAUCGUAAGGAAGACCAGUGGCGAAGGCGGGUCUCUGGACAGUUCCUGACGCUGAGGCACGAAGGUCAGGGGAGCAAACGGG
rnacentral:rRNA from 1 species